AGAGGCGGGGAAGAGCCUUCAUGACACGACUGAGAGAUUGGGAAUUGGCGAAAUUUUUUUUUAGAAAGCUCUCUGCGCUUGCAUUGCUUCCAGCGGAACAUAUCAUUGAUGGCUUCAGGUGGUUGGUAACUAAUACCGCACCCGAUAUUCGUGCAUUUUUCGCCUUUCUUAUUGAAUACUAUGAGGAAUGGUGGAUAAGACAGGUUACACCUGCUAAAUUCUCUGUGUACCGUCAGAAAUAUCGUACCAAUAAUAAUGUGGAGGCCUAUCACAGGUGUUUAGAGAGACGUAUCAAGAGUCAUCCUGGCAUCUGGAAAUUCACGGCUUGGCGCAGUGGGUCAUUUCGUUGCCUCACAUGCGAAAGGUUAAAAGUUAAAAACUCCACCGGGUAGAAUGGUGCGAUUCAAGUAUUUAAAGUCUUGACCAUCGCAUCAUCGCAGCAUACUCUAACUGGGUGGAAACAAUUCAAAAUAACGAUUAAAAAAUAGUAUAUUUCGUAACAAGUGCGGAAAAGUGAUUUUUGGCGUGUGGGAGGUUUAUAGGACGAGCCGAAGGCGAGUGGUAUAAUAGCACAAGCCAAAAAUCAAUUUCUGCACGAGUUGCGAACAAUAUUUUUCUUCACAAUGUGCGGGAAAGGCACUUUUUAGGCACGUGAAGCGAAGCGGAGCGUGCCUGAAAAGUUACUUUUCGGCACAUCGUGAUGAAAAAAUUGUUUGUUGAGCGAAUUAAUUGAUCCCAUUAUAUGCAUUUUAGCUGAGUUGAGGGACAUUCAGAUGAAUAGUAUGCGCGAAGUUAAUUCCUUGAAUAUGGGAAUUCCAGUAAGACGUACAAUUGAACAAUCACGUACCAGGCAUGAGACGUUACUGAAUUAUGUAUGGGAUUUAUAUGAUGGAAAUUCGCUUGAUAUUCCAAGAUUUCUCUCUUGCGCUAGCCAUUUGUCAUCUUCUUUCAAUAAUGAUUUCCUUAUAAUAACUCGGGAGGAAGUUGAAUACUUCACCACAGCUCCAAUCCACGACAGAGACGUUGCUCCACCAAAUCAUGGAAUUGAACAUGUUGCAAUUGAAGGCCACGCUGACGGACCAUUCCCUAUAGUUAGGGGAGAGCCCCCAGAGCAAGCAAUCGAGAUCCUGAUUUGUGAGUCCUGCACGACAUUACCAUUUCGAAUCAGUAGCCAAUCGGGUUGAGUCGAUUCUGUUUGUUGCCCGAUUUUCAGUGAAUGCCUCAGAAUCUAAGAGAGGUAGCAAUAU